rnacentral:rRNA from 1 species
GACGAACGCUGGCGGCGUGCUUAACACAUACAAGUCGAACGGUAAGGCCCUUCGGGGUACACGAGUGGCGAACGGGUGAGUAACACGUGGGUGAUCUACCCUGCACUUCGGGAUAAGCCUGGGAAACUGGGUCUAAUACCGGAUAGGACCACUGCCUGCAUGGGUGGUGGUGGAAAGCUUUUGCGGUGUGGGAUGGGCCCGCGGCCUAUCAGCUUGUUGGUGGGGUGAUGGCCUACCAAGGCGACGACGGGUAGCCGGCCUGAGAGGGGGACCGGCAACACUGGGACUGAGAUACGGCCCAGACUCCUACGGGAGGCAGCAGUGGGGAAUAUUGCACAAUGGGCGCAAGCCUGAUGCAGCGACGCCGCGUGAGGGAUGACGGCCUUCGGGUUGUAAACCUCUUUCAGCACCGACGAAGCGCAAGUGACGGUAGGUGCAGAAGAAGGACCGGCCAACUACGUGCCAGCCGCCGCGGUAACAC